rnacentral:tRNA from 1 species
AACUAAUUAGUUUUAAAUGAAAAUAAUAAUUUUGUAAAUUAUAGAUAAUUUUAAUUAUUAGUUA